GGUGGCUCAGUUGUAGAGUGCUUGCCUUGCAUGCAUGAGACUCUGAGUUCGAUUCCUCAGCACCA
rnacentral:tRNA from 1 species